UUUAACCGGAUCUGUUCAUUUUGGUAUUACUUCCAUCGAUUUUUGGAUUUCGAUCGUAUCUAAGAUCCUAUUUUAUCUGGGUUGCUAACUCAAUGGUAGAGUACUCGGCCGGGUUCGAGUCCCGGGCAACCCAUAUGGAAA
rnacentral:tRNA from 1 species